ACCGAAAUAGCUCAGUUGGAAGAGCAUUAGACUAUAAAUCGAAAGUCCCUGGUUCGAUUUCAAGUCUUGGCA
rnacentral:tRNA from 1 species